CCCUGCCAUUUGUACACACCGCCCGUCGCACCUACUGAUUGAAUGACUCGGUGAAAAAUUGGGACUGUGAGAACAAUUGAUUCAUUUCAAAUGUACUUGUAGAAACUUUUUUUAACCUCGCCAUUUAGAAGAAGGUGAAGUCGUAACAAG
rnacentral:rRNA from 1 species